AAUAUUGGUCAAUGGACGAAAGUCUGAACCAGCCAUGCCGCGUGCAGGAAGACGGUCCUCUGGAUUGUAAACUGCUUUUACUUGGGAAUAAACCUCCUCUCGUGUAGAGGAGCUGAAGGUACCAAGAGAAUAAGCACCGGCUAACUCCGUGCCAGCAGCCGCGGUAAUACGCGAGGGUGCAAGCGUUAUCCGGAAUCAUUGGGUUUAAAGGGUCCGCAGGCGGGCUUAUAAGUCAGUGGUGAAAGCCUACAGCUUAACUGUAGNACUGCCAUUGAUACUGUAGGUCUUGAAUUUAGUCGAAGUAGGCGGAAUAGGUCAUGUAGCGGUGAAAUGCAUAGAUAUGACCUAGAACACCGAUAGCGAAGCAGCUUACUAGGCUUGAAUUACGCUCAUGACGAAAGCGUGGGAGCGAA
rnacentral:rRNA from 1 species